GCAUAUCAAUAAGCGGAGGAAAAGAAACCAACCGGGAUUGCCUCAGUAACGGCGAGUGAAGCGGCAAGAGCUCAAAUUUGAAAUCUGGCCCCUCCGGGGUCCGAGUUGUAAUUUGCAGAGGAUGCUUCGGGUGCGGCCCCUGUCUAAGUGCCCUGGAACGGGCCGUCAGAGAGGGUGAGAAUCCCGUCUUGGGCAGGGUGCCCGUGCCCGUGUGAAGCUCCUUCGACGAGUCGAGUUGUUUGGGAAUGCAGCUCAAAAUGGGUGGUAAAUUUCAUCUAAAGCUAAAUACCGGCCGGAGACCGAUAGCGCACAAGUAGAGUGAUCGAAAGAUGAAAAGCACUUUGAAAAGAGAGUUAAACAGCACGUGAAAUUGUUGAAAGGGAAGCGCUUGCAACCAGACUCGGCCUCGGGGUUCAGCCAGCAUUCGUGCUGGUGUACUUCCCCGGGGCCGGGCCAGCGUCGGUUUGGGCGGCCGGUCAAAGGCCCCAGGAAUGUAUCGUCCUCCGGGACGUCUUAUAGCCUGGGGUGCAAUGCGGCCAGCCUGGACCGAGGAACGCGCUUCGGCACGGACGCUGGCGUAAUGGUCGCAAACGACCCGUCUUGAAACACGGACCAAGGAGUCUAACAUCUACGCGAGUGUUCGGGUGUCAAACCCGUACGCGCAGUGAAAGCGAACGGAGGUGGGAGCCCCCCCGGGGCGCACCAUCGACCGAUCCUGAUGUCUUCGGAUGGAUUUGAGUACGAGCGUAGCUGUGGGGACCCGAAAGAUGGUGAACUAUGCCUGAAUAGGGUGAAGCCAGAGGAAACUCUGGUGGAGGCUCGCAGCGGUUCUGACGUGCAAAUCGAUCGUCAAAUUUGGGUAUAGGGGCGAAAGACUAAUCGAACCAUCUAGUAGCUGGUCCUGCCGA
rnacentral:rRNA from 1 species